GGGCGAGUGGUGGAAUGGUAUACACGCGACACUUAAAAUGUCGUCCACUUCGGUGGAUAAGGGUUCGACUCCCUUCUCGCCCACCA
rnacentral:tRNA from 2 species